rnacentral:lncRNA from 1 species
AGCUGAAAAAAAACUUUGGCAUUUUUAUUCAGACACGUAUAAAAACAAAACAAAAAACUUCAGUGAUACAACAGACGUUUUCCCUUAGUUCCCCAUCCAAGGGGACAGAGGUGUGCAGCUGAAGCUGGAUCUUUUUUCUGUCCUACCUGGAAGCUUCUCACUGCUGGAUGAGAAUGGCUUCUAAAAGUGGAUCUUGGGGAUCCUUGUGAAUUUGCCCUCGGAUAAGGAGUGAAGAUCAUUUACGGCACAUGUGGAUUAUGGUUUACACAAAGAUGUCCAGUUAUUUUUCCUUCUGACUACCCCCACCACCACUUCCUGAGAUGAGAUGUCUAGGUAUAGGAGGAUGUGGCUGUUGGGGUUAGACUUGAUUCAGUGCAAAAACAAG